GCCGGGAUGGCAGAGCGGUCGAUUGCGCUGGACUCGAGAUCCAGUGCCCGAAAGGGUUCGGGGGUUCGAAUCCCUCUCCCGGCG
rnacentral:tRNA from 1 species